AUUGAACGCUGGCGGCAUGCUUUACACAUGCAAGUCGAACGGUAACAGGCCGCAAGGUGCUGACGAGUGGCGAACGGGUGAGUAAUGCAUCGGAACGUGCCCAGUCGUGGGGGAUAACGCAGCGAAAGCUGCGCUAAUACCGCAUACGAUCUAUGGAUGAAAGCGGGGGACCGUAAGGCCUCGCGCGAUUGGAGCGGCCGAUGUCAGAUUAGGUAGUUGGUGGGGUAAAGGCUCACCAAGCCAACGAUCUGUAGCUGGUCUGAGAGGACGACCAGCCACACUGGGACUGAGACACGGCCCAGACUCCUACGGGAGGCAGCAGUGGGGAAUUUUGGACAAUGGGCGCAAGCCUGAUCCAGCAAUGCCGCGUGCAGGAAGAAGGCCUUCGGGUUGUAAACCGCUUUUGUACGGAACGAAACGGCUCUGGUUAAUACCUGGGGCUAAUGACGGUACCGUAAGAAUAAGCACCGGCUAACUACGUGCCAGCAGCCGCGUAACAC
rnacentral:rRNA from 1 species